AUCGCUGCGACGUGGGCGGUUCGCCGCCCGCGACUUGGCGAGAAGUCCAUUGAACCUUAUCAUUUAGAGGAAGGAGAAGUCGUAACAAGGUUUCCGUAGGUGAACUGCGGAAGGAUCAUUG
rnacentral:rRNA from 1 species